AGGGUUUGAUCCUGGCUCAGAUUGAACGCUGGCGGCAGGCUUAACACAUGCAAGUCGAGCGGAAACGAUGAUAGCUUGCUAUCAGGCGUCGAGCGGCGGACGGGUGAGUAAUACUUAGGAAUCUACCUAGUAGUGGGGGAUAGCUCGGGGAAACUCGAAUUAAUACCGCAUACGUCCUACGGGAGAAAGCAGGGGAUCUUUGGACCUUGCGCUAUUAGAUGAGCCUAAGUCGGAUUAGCUAGAUGGUGGGGUAAAGGCCUACCAUGGCGACGAUCUGUAGCUGGUCUGAGAGGAUGAUCAGCCACACCGGGACUGAGACACGGCCCGGACUCCUACGGGAGGCAGCAGUGGGGAAUAUUGGACAAUGGGGGGAACCCCGAUCCAGCCAUGCCGCGUGUGUGAAGAAGGCCUUUUGGUUGUAAAGCACUUUAAGCAGUGAAGAAGACUCUUCGGUUAAUACCCGGGGACGAUGACAUUAGCUGCAGAAUAAGCACCGGCUAACUCUGUGCCAGCAGCCGCGGUCAUACAGAGGGUGCAAGCGUUAAUCGGAAUUACUGGGCGUAAAGCGAGCGUAGGUGGCUUGAUAAGUCAGAUGUGAAAUCCCCGGGCUUAACCUGGGAACUGCAUCUGAAACUGUUAGGCUAGAGUAGGUGAGAGGGAAGUAGAAUUUCAGGUGUAGCGGUGAAAUGCGUAGAGAUCUGAAGGAAUACCGAUGGCGAAGGCAGCUUCCUGGCAUCAUACUGACACUGAGGCUCGAAAGCGUGGGUAGCAAACAGGAUUAGAUACCCUGAUAGUCCACGCCGUAAACGAUGUCUACUAGUCGUUGGGUCCCUUGAGGACUUAGUGACGCAGCUAACGCAAUAAGUAGACCGCCUGGGGAGUACGGCCGCAAGGUUAAAACUCAAAU
rnacentral:rRNA from 1 species